rnacentral:rRNA from 1 species
AUUGAACGCUAGCGGGAUGCCUUACACAUGCAAGUCGAACGGAGUGGCGAACGGGUGAGUAAUGUAUCGGAACGUGCCCAGUAGCGGGGGAUAACUACGCGAAAGCGUAGCUAAUACCGCCUACUAUUGUAGCGGACGAUAUCGGUUUAUCUGGUUGGUGGGGUAACGGCUCACCAAGGCGACGAUCCGUAGCUGGUUUGAGAGGAAGACCAGCCACAUUGGGACUGAGACACGGCCCAGACUCCUACGGGAGGCAGCAGUGGGGAAUUUUGGACAAUGGGGGAAACCCUGAUGCAGCCAUCCCGCGUGUGUGAAGAAGGCCUUCGGGUUGUAAAGCACUUUUGGCAGGGAGGCGUUACCUGCAGAAUAAGCACCGGCUAACUACGUACCAGCAGCCGCGGUAAUAC